CUGCUAGCGCUAGCGCGGCGGUGAUAACCGAGGGAGGUGGGUGAGAGGUGCGGCUGUCGAGGCAAACGCAGAGCACCCGCCCAGUCCUCCAAGGGCCGAGAGCCGGGAGUCCCGAACGCCGCUUAAGCAGCUCCUUGCUUCCCGCAGCCCGUCCACAUCCCUGCGGGAUUUCUGGACGCCCCGCCCGGGGACCUAGGGAGGAGGGAGAGAGGAGGGAGGGAGUGGGCAGCCUGGGCGCACGCCACCGGUCCCCGUACGCCCGGCACCCCCCGUGGCGCGGCGAGUCAAUGGGAUUUGCACACUCGAGGUGUAACAGCAUUACUGCAUUAAUUACCAUUUCCAUUUCACGUCCAGAUUGUUUACUUAUCUGCGGGAAACAUAUGUCGGGAGAAGUUCACAUUCCGGAUUCUGCUCCGCUGCCCAAGGUGCAAUUCCGGGGAGGCGGCGAGGGGGGAGGGGAGGGCUUCAGAUUUUUUAUUACACCCUCUAGCCUUAUCUGCCGCUGUAAAUUAUGAGGAUCCUCCAUUGAGCGGCAUAUGGAGAUUAUAUACUUUUUUGAAUAUCGUUUCCCAAAGCCUGCAGAUUUUCACUUUGAAAUGAAACAAUCCUCCGCUGGUUCCCCCGGGGACAGGCGUCUCCUGCGUUCCCCCGCGCGGCCUGGGGGACCCUUCUCGCAGAGCAGGCGCGCACCCCAAUGCCGUGGCCGGCGCCCAGUGGAGACUUCUUUCACAGGGUCUAGAAUAAUCUUCCGCGGAACACCCAUCCAUAUGCAGUGUUUGAGAACUAAGGCAGCUCCCUUGCUCUGUUUUCCUGCGCCUAGCCCCCGGACUUUUGUGCCGUUUGCAGCUCUUUUUCAUUUCGAAUACCCGCAUAGACGCGAGCCCACUUCUGCCCUCUUCCUACGCUGGGCGGCUCCAAACCCGCCGCGAGGGCUGAGGUGUUCACACCUGCCCACGGCAGCCUGCCUCGCCCUCAAGCGCCUCAAAGCUUCCUAAGCGCUUACAUUGGUCUUGGGACAGCCGACUUUGGCUUCUUUGUUUGUUUGAGGGACCGCGGAAGUGGCGGGGAAUGUGCCCCCGCUUGAGACCGCUUAUUGUGAGCCCUCAACGGAAAUCCUGCACGGAAGGCAACCGCCUCCCCGCUCGCGAAGGCUUCAUUUGCUCUGAGUUAUCAUUGAGAACUAAAUGGAGAAGAAAAGAACUGAAGGCCUGAAGAUAUGUCAUCUGUAGAAAAGGUGGCCUCUUCUCAAGCUUUCUUGGCAAAUCAAGAGCUUCUGCCUUUUGGAGGACAUCCUCUUGACCUCCCACCCAUAUCAGCUCUUAGAGGACAUUCCACAGGAACAUUGCCUUCUUGUCCUCCAGUAUUUUUUAUGGAAACAGAAAUUAGGUUAUCUUCCUUAUGCUCUAGAUGGACAUCUGAAAUCAUCAAACCCUUGAGAGAAACAGCCCUCAUUCUUUUAUGAGACAACCUGGAAGAAAACAGGACUCUGAAGAUUUGUCUCCAUAUUCUCUGGAAAGAUGUACUCUGUUUGCAAUAAGAGGGAGCCACAUGGUUUAUUAGAUGGUUAUUAAUUGAGCAUUCUGUGCAAAGAAGUUUGUGCCUUAGAUUUAGAAUUCCACCCUCAGUUGGAAUACAGAUGAUCCCUAACAAGUCACAUGAAAAAAUGAACUGUGGAGCCAGAAGAGUGAGUUCUUGGAGAACUAAGGGCCAGAGACCUGUGAGCAAGAUUUGAUAAUUUUAUAAAAAUUAAAAGACGAUUUGAAAUGUUAUUGGUCUUACUAAAACUUUUACUUGUGAACUGCAAUUGAUGACAUGAUCACUUGUGCCAAUUAUAAUUUUAUACCAAAGGACUGCAGAGCAUUGGAUGGGUUUGUUGGGCAGGUUUCUCACAAACGCUGACAGAAAGGUAUGACGAAGGAUGGGAGGACAAACUGGGGGGGUGCCAAGUAGAAAAACAGAAGCGAUGGCUAAGUGCUCGUCCUGGACUCUGCCCUUUGAUAAGGGACUGAAGGUCCCUUAUGAUCUUCUUUCAAAUUCCACCGUCACAGUUUUAGUCACAUCCAUCUAUAAUAUUAUUUACUAUCAGACUUUUCUUUAAAUUGACUCGCUUUUUCACUUUAGCCUUAUCCCAAGCAAUAAUGCAUAUAAAUCAUAAGUUUGUUGUAAUAGAUUUUUUGUAAUACUAAUCAAAAUUAAAUUUAUUCCCCUGUAACAGAGAUAAUUUCUCAAAUUACUUUGGAAAACACCAAUUUAAAGUGCUCAGUUUACCACUUGAGGAAAAUGAGAGAUCAGAGGAGUAAAGCCAAUUUUCCAAGGUCACACAGCCUGACAACUGGAAAUCCUGGCCUAGCACCUAAGUCUUUUAGGUAUUGGCCCAGUACUCUUUCCUUCUAUCAUCUUUCUCAGAGGCAAAGAAAAAAAAAAAAACUAUCAGGCAAUUAGCACUAUCUCUUGAGGGUAGAGGGCGUGAAGAUUCACCAGGUUCUCUCAUAAAGUUUAAACACUUUCUCGGUGGUGCUAAACCUUAUCUUGGUUACUCAGACUGUCUUCAGUCUGUUAAUUAUAUUGCAUAAAACCUAACACAUUUCCAUGAAAGGAGCUCUAAGGGAAGAAGGACCUGAAUGGGUUUUGAGAGCCAGGGCCUGCCUAUCCUUUAAGAAGGUCGUCUGGGCAGGAGAAAGCAGGAAGGGAAGGGAAAGGCCACUAACCAUAAGCAGUCCAAUUGUGGGUAAGUCACUAGUGUCAAGGAAUGUAGUCUCCUCAGUCAGGCAGGGUCCAGGUGCUGCAUACUGCCCAAACUGCCUGCCUUCCCCUGGAUAUUUGUUUUAUCUUGGAGCAUGUCGUGGCCUCAGAGAACUGAAUUCUUAAUCUGUGGCCUUUCAAAGUCUAUGGUUGUUUCCAACAUCACAUUGUCUCAGAUUUGUUACUCGCAGCACAGAUUCGAAAUGAGCCUUCAGUAAAAGUAAAAAGAAAGGAAGAAAGAAAGAAAGAAAGAAAGAAAGAAAGAAAGAAAGAAAGAAAGAAAGAAAGAAGAAAGAAAGAGAAAGAAAGAAAGAAGAAAGAAAGAAAGAAAGAAAGAAAGAAAGAAAGAAAGAAAGAAAGAAAGAAAGAAAAGAAAGAAAGCCAGCCAGUGGAAGAGUUUAGCCCCCACAAAAGCAAAAAGCACCCAGCAAAUCAAGCAUUUUCUUGCAGACUUGUGCUAAUUUUGUUUAUUUGUUUAUUACAAGGUGCUCUAAACCUCCUGGGGUAUUCCACAGCUUUAAUGACUAUGUGUAACACCACCUAGCUAACACUGCUUUUCCAUUCAGUCAACUCAGUCUCACAGCAGUCCUCACAACUACGUGGUUUCAGGUAUUAUUUUACAGAGGAGGCUGGAGCUUUGGGAAGUUAAGUGGCUUGCCUACAGUCACAAAGCCAAUACGAAGAGGACCUGAAACUCAGAUCUUUUUUCCCUCCCAGUUUGGGAUUCUUGCUAUCACCCUAUCACACUUCUAGACCUGUAUCUCUUGCAUCUCUAUCGUUCUUUCCUCAAGUCAACAUACAUUUCUCCAGAGUCCUAAUGUCCUUCAUCUUACCUUGGCACAAUAAGCAAUUCAUUGGGACUUUUCCGCUUUGGAUUUGUUUUGUCUUUCUCAUUCUUUUGAGGCUGCAGAUUAGCAUUUUGGCUAAUCACUUGGGUAUUAAAAGUUAGACCCUCUGGGCCUAAAUCCUAGAACUACUCCUUGCUAGCUAUGCCAACAUUAGCAAGUUGCUUAACCUCUCUGUGUCUCACUUACCUCAUCUGCAAAAUGGAAAUUGAAAUAGUCUUCGUAGGUAAUGAUAGCCUUGAAGGCCUUACAGGAUUAUUUUGAGGAUUAAAGGACACAAUGGUUGUAAAGUACUUAAGUAUCAUGCCACGCAAUUAAUGUUAGAUAUAAUUUUGAGUGUUUUCUCUUUUUUCACCCCUUUAAAAAAUCUUCUUUUGAAUUCAGGAUUCCUUUUCCCCAUAUAUUUUUAUGGUGAAUGAGAAUAUCGGCUUAGGGUCUACUCUGUUCAUCUCUUGAAAACGACAUUAUACUUUUUCUUCUAAAAAAUGAUACAAAGAGAAUCCCCAGCCUUUUCCCCCUCUCCCUGUGGCUACAGUUUUCCCAUCAUUUUAAAAGGUUAUUUCUUUUCUUCAUAGCACAAUGUGGUGGGAUGAAGGGGAAAUGGUUUAGAAAAUUUUAAAUUGAUGUAUCUUAUUUGUUUCCCCCAGUUAUAUUGAAAAGAAGAAAAUCUCUCCAGUUUCAGAAACACUGGCCUUUUGGAUACUGAGGAGUUGGAAAUGGAAAGGGGAUUUUAAUGAGUUUCUCGGCAAUGAGGCUAGAGAAAAUAUUAUCCAUCUCCCCCUGUUCUCCAAUUCAGCAGCUCGGACUCCUGUUUUCAUCACAGUCCUGUUAGAUAAUUACAGCCCCAAAGGCCUCCUGUUCCUUCUUUCUGUGUUCCCUGAAUCUUCUUUCCCAGAGCCAGGACCUCUUGGAAAUUCUCAGCCUCUGUUAGUUGCCCGCUCUGGGAGCCCGACUCCUCACAUCCGUCAUCUCUUUCUUCUCCCCCUUCACCUGCUGUAGUGUCCCCACUGUCUCUCUUUACCUCAGCUCCUUACCAUUCCUUUCCCUCUACACCCUUUUCCUUUGGUUCAUAGUCAGGAUGUGCUAGUUGCAUUCAAGCCCUUUUUGAUACUAAGAAUUCAGGGGGACAAAUCCAAACCCUGGAGACUACUGUCUUCCCCUUAGUGAUGCUAAUGAAUAUAAUUCCUGAUCUGAAAUUACCUGCACUUUAUUUGGCUCCAUCUACUUUUCUGCCACUUACUCCCUGUAUAACCAUAGGCUACGUACCCUACCUCUCUCUGGGUUUGUUUACUCCUCAGUUAAAAGGAGGAUUAAAAUGGCAAUCACAACACCUUGCUACAGAUAUGUUAGGAAGAUUAAAUGGGAUAACAUGCAGGGUGCCUAGCCUUCCUGGCAUAUAGUAAAUGCCUAUAAAAUAUAACAAGUGUCAUGUAUUAUUAUUAAAUUGUAUCUACCUGGUAGAAACUAAUGGAGUGGACUACUUUAUUAAUUUAGAUUUCUCUCUUUUUCCUUUCCUAUGAUAUUUAAGCUGGAAAACCCAGUAUAGUUUAAAAAAUCAGUUGUUCAGUCAUUGUUUAUACAAUCUAGAUUCACUUAAAUAAUCUCUCCAGUUUUUAUGUAGACCCAAUGACAUGCAGAAUAAUAAACUAAGGGAGAGGGUUUGGUCCACACCUUCAGGGUCAGAAAACAGAGUUUUAACCCAGAUAGAAUGGUGAAAGGGCUUAUAAGAAAUUACUGAACUUUAAAGCUGUGGUCUGUGCAUACCCAGAGUCUUUUUUUCUUUCUUUCUUUCUUUUUUUUUUUUUUUUUUUUGCGACGGAGUUUCGAUCUUGUUGCCCAGGCUAGAGUGCAGUGGCACAAUCUCGGCUCACUGCAACCUCUGCCUUCUGGGUUUAAGUGAUUCUCCUGCCUCAGCCUCCCGAGUAGCUGGGAUUACAAGUGCCUGCCACCAUGCCCAGCUAAUUUUUUGUAAUUUUUUUAGUAGAGAUGGGGUUUCACCAUGUUGGCCAGGCUGGUCUCGAACUCCUGACCUCAGGCUAUCCAGCCACCUUGGCCUCCCAAAGUGCUGGGAUUACAGGCGUGAGCCACCGUGUCAGGCCUCCCAGAGUCUUAUUUCAUUUUAUUUUAUAUAUUUUUUGAGACAAGGCCUUGCUCCGUCACCCAGGCAACCUCGACCUCCUGGGCUAAAGCUAUACUCCCGCCUCAGCCUCUCUAGUAGUUGAGAUUACAGGCAUAUGCCAUCACAUCCAGCUAAUGUUUUUUGUAUUUUUGUAGAGAUGGGGUCUCACUAUGUUGCCCAGGCUGGUCUUGAACUCCUAGGCUCAAGCAAUCCUCCUGCCUCAGCCUCCCAAUAUUCUGGGAUUACAGGCAUUCACCACCAUGUCUGGCCUACCUGGGGCUUUAGAAGUUUAGAGCUUAGAGAAACACUUGAGAGCUUUGAGGUCACCCUCCCAUUUCCAGAUUAAAAAAAAAAAAAUCAAGGGCCAGGAACAGCAAAGUGUCAUGGUUAAGGUCACACAGGGGACGGUGGCAGAGAAAAGUCAUUUGGGGCCUACCUUUAUGUAGGCUACACUUCCCUAUGCUGCCAGAACAAUGAAUGAGAAAAGGAAACAUUUAGUCCAUUGUUUUGGGCCUUCUUUUGAUACUGAAUGCUUUUGUUUUUGUGCCUGUACACAUGCGAAGCCUCUGGUGGAAUGGUCUGUGGGCACUGUGACAGACAAGCAGCACUAUUAAUACUGGUGGCUCAAAGUAAUGACUGCCUGUGUGUUGACUGCCUAUGCUAUGCCGGGGGCUUUGUGUUCAUAUCAUUCCAUCUUUACUAGUUACUACAACUCUUCAGGGUAAUGUGAUUCUACCUUGUGGAUCCAGGAGACUAAGUACCCGGCCCACCGUCCUUACAGACCCAGGUGCAUAUUGAGAACUGUGUGUCUGCAGAGAAUAUGCACUUUUUCCUGUGUCAUGCUGCUUAAUCCAUGCUCAGAACUGACUUCCUGAGAAAGUGACAAGGAGAGAAGGAGAGUGUGAGAGGACAAGGCCCAGAACAAGAGGGUAAAGAUGUUUGGAAGAAUCAAUUCGGGAAGACUUCCUGGGAGACGAAGUUUUGUAAAGAGUUGAGGGUAAGUCUGUACGGGGGCAUGGAAAAACAAGUCUAGUUUACAAAUGUGUCUUUUUACUGCCUCGUAUUCAGUUUCUGUGUCAAAUGUUUAAAAAGGCUCGCUGUGUUUAUUUAAAAAUAUAAAACCAGGCAAGACUGGCUUUUUCACUCAGCAUAAUUUCUUUCAUUUACGUGACAUUCUUGAAAAGAUAAAAGUAUGGUGAUGAAGAAAAGAUCACUGGUAGCUGAGGGUUGAGAACUAGGGGAAGGUGUGACCAACAAAUGGGUCACACCAGGAAAUUUUUGAGGCCUUAGAACUGUUCUGCAUCCUGAUUGUAAUAAUGGUUGCAUGAAUCUACCCCCAUGUUAAAAUUUGUAGGACUGUCAAUUGCAUUGUAUCUUAUUUUUUCAAAUUUAUUUAUUUUAAAUUGACAUACAAAAUAUGUAUUUAUCAUGUAGAACUUGAUGUUUUGAAGUAUACAUACAUUUUGUAUAUACAUUUUUUAAAUAAAACGAAAUUAUAAAACAAGGCACAGAAACAUAUUGAAGAACACUUGGGCUGUAUUCACGGUGAUGGGGAAGUAUCUCAUUAAAUCAGCCCCUCUUCAGUAUGUCACCUGGUGCCUCUCAUAGUAUAGACCUGAUUUCCAGCUAACAACUGAACUUCUCAGGGUACCAGCCGAGGGCUAGGGGCUUAUCCCUUAUAAUUCUAGGUUCCAACUCUUCUGUGGGCCCCUUUGUUCACUCCAUCUGAGGCAGUAGGGAUGGAUGGACAAGGAAAGGAGGGGGAUCACAUUUGGGUGGGAAUGUACAUCUUGCUAACAAUGUUUUUUUUUUAUUUUUUUAAGAGGCCUUGCUAUCGUCCCAGAGUAUGGAUGACAUUUCCCCUAAACCUAUUAUCUCAUGAAAUUAAGUACAGAUAAAGAAAUUCUCUAAGACGGAAUGUUAUUCUAAUGUAGCAUUAAACCCUCUUGCAACCAUAAUAGCAACUGCUACCAUUUACUGAGAGCCUUCUCACGGGAUCAGGCAUUUUACCUACAUGUGCUGCCUCUGUUCUUCCUCACAACCAUCCUAUUGAGAAGUUUGUCAUUUCCUCAUUGCUCAUGUGAGGAAAUAAGAGCUGAUAACUUUGAACACAGUUAGAAGGCUAAUCCUUGGCAGAGCAGGGAUUUUAAUCUAGGUCUCAGACUCCAAGUGUUGGUGUCCUUCCUGUCACUUCCACUGGCCAUUUCAGCUGGGGUCAUCCAGGUCUACUGAGGAGACUGCCCUGCCCCACCUCUCCUCCUCCUCCUCACUCACCACUACAGGCAACCUCAUUUCCCAACCUGCCCACUUAGACUCCUCACCCCAGAUCUUACCUUUACAACCUGUCCCCACUGUCACCCAGCCUCUUAAGAGGUUUGUCCCUGCUUUGACUCCGUCUAUUCCCAGCCCUCCCAUUCUUCCCCUUUAUGCUCUUGGAACUAUCACCAGUAGCUUGGAAACCGGGAGGAUACACGAAGUCAGGAGAAGUUGAGCUCCUGGCACUCCACAUGGUCAGCCACACUUAUCCUUACAGACCUUGUUAUAAAGGGUGGUCAGGCAGCAUAAGCUGUUGGCUGAUCAGACCAUUACUCUUUUUCUCUUCAUGCAUAGAUAUGAGUGUUGGAGGGAACCUCAGCCCUUAUCUUGUCUAAGUUGUAGGAAUUGCCAAGACCUUGGUGGGCUGACUUGGGAAUCCAGUCAUCAUGCAGAGCUGUGAUCCUCACAGUGUGUGCACCAGCAUCAACUGGGAGCUUGUUAGAAAUGCAGAUUCUCAAGCCCCUGCCCAGAUUUACUGAAUCAAAAAUUCUGGGGGUGGGGCCCAGCAAUCUGGGUUUUAACAAGGCCUCCACGGGUGCUUCUGAAGCAUGGUACGUUUGGGAUUUACUGAUCUAGACCAAUGCUUCUCAGACUUUAAUGUACAUAAAAAUGCCAAAGAGUCGGUUGCCAGAUUUAGCAAAUAAAAAUACAGGUGUACUUAUGGAAUAUGCUUAUACUAAACAAAUGCAUUGUUUAUCUGAAAUUCAAAUUUAAUUGGGUGCCCUGUAUUUUAUCUGUCAACCCUACCUGAGUAUUUUUUUAAAUGCAGCUUCUGAUUCAGUAGGUCGAAGGUGAAUCCUGAGAUUCAGUAUUUCUGACAAGCUCCCAGGUGACGGAUGCCCAAGCUGCCAGACGCACUGAGAGCAAGGAUCUAGAGCUACUUGUUACAUGCAGAUCCUGAAACUCUCUCUCAACCUACUGAGUCAGGUUGUCCCAGGGAGACACUGAUUUAGAAUGUUGUAACCAAGGGACCAUGCGUUCUGAGUCACAAACAUCCCAUUUACAAACUGUAAGUUCAGGAUUCACACAUAGGUGAGACUCUGCAUACACAGUAGUGGAGAUAACCAAGAAUGGGGUGGUUUUGCUGAGAGGCAGGGAGGAAAAGAGAAAAGUGCUGAGGUAGAUGACCAACUCACUGUGGGAGUGGAGGACCCAGGAAAUAGGAGGCUUGUUGCAACUCUGGGAAGGAGUAAAACGUGGGGCUGCCUGUCCCCCAGGACCCCAAAACACAAGCAACACCUCCAUGUGCAAGAUGCUAAUAGGCACAUUUAUUGAGCCUCUCCUGUGUUGAGAAACUCCAGGUGAUAUCUCAUUUCAGUUUAUUCUCAAGCAAUACUUUGAAAUUGAAAUUCUUUACCCCAUUGAGAAGAUGAAGAACCCAAGGCUCAGAAAGUGCUAAGAUCAUACAGCUAGCAAAACCUGGAGUCAGGAUUUGAACACAGGUCUGUUCUCAAAGCCUCUCUCCACUGCCUCAUGUCUCUCUCUGCUGAUGCUCAUUCUGUGGUAGCUAUUGAAGCACAAUGGUGGUUCCAGGAGACAAGUGGCCACUGUCCUCUACAGCUGCAGCAGCAGAUUCCUUUCCUUAUGGCAUCUGCCUUCAACACCCUCCCACCUGGGCCUCUCCAUUCCAUCACAUGAUGCUCAGAUCAUGACCUGCACAGACUCAGCAUGCUCGGUGACUCACCUAUGGCUUGUUUCUCUCCAGAAGUGUACCCCACAUGUUGGAAGCUACUAAAGAGGGCCUGACCACCUGCUUCAUUAGGCCCAUUAGCUUUCUUCUUUUGCAGGAGCCAGAUUUGUCAUGUAUUUAUUCUUGAUGCAUUUUUUUUCCUUUGAUCUUCCAGAACAGCCACUUCAAUUUAGGUUUCUACCUGGACAUGAUAAAAUUCCAAGCAUGUUCUCACCCCCAUCCCAGGUUUCAAGGUGUAUUAGUUUAAAGAAUUCCUCUCCAUCUGAGGAAAUGUUAUUGUCUGAGCAAUACCAGAGUUGGAGGUCCCAGACUCACUGAGGGUAAGAUGUUAGAAUUUCAAACUCUUAAUCCUAUUGAUUCCAAGUCCUUUUGAUCUUUUCAACACCUGUCAGGGGAGUUGAGUUUAUAUAAUUGGGGGGAGGGUGACUGAUUGGCUCUGGUUUUAUUACGACCUGUUUGUGCCAUUUAAUUAAUAAUAAAAACAGCUGCCAGCUGCCGAACCACUUGAGGACAUCUUUGCAGCUUCUGCUUUUCCAAAAGCUCAGGCAAUUAUUUGGGUUUCAGGAAGGUGACUGAAUCAGAUCAUCAGCCUGGGAUGGAUUUUGUUUUGCCUUUAAGCAACCUCCAUUCGUCCUUUGUAGAGUCCAUAAGUGAAUUGAAGAACCAAGAAACACACAGCUCUUUUCAAGGACAGGAAAGGGGAAGAAAAGUACUAUUUCCUGAGUGUUUAGGUUGUGCCAGGCACUUAACUCGCUUAAUCCUUUCAACAGCUUUGAGUCGUAGAUCUUAUUAUCCCCAUUUUACAGAUUAGAGAGUCUAGCCUCAGAGGUUAAGAAACAUGCCCCAAGUUCAAACAGCCAGAAAAUGACAAGGCUGGGAUAAGAACUCGUCUGUCUGAUUUCAAAGUCAUUGGGUUUUCACGCUGUGUAGGUUGAAGAAUUUCUUAAUGCAUCCUGAAAAGUAAGAAAACUUGUUUGGUUCUGUUUUGUUGUUUCUGCAUUUUUUAAAUGAAUAAAAUGUGCUGUUUAAAAGUCCUAGGUUCUCACUCAACCAAAUGUGAAGACUCAUUAAAAGCUCUGCUAAGUAAGUGAGAAAUAUAAAUAGGUCAGUGAAAUGAUAUAGGAAUCUUGAGAAACAGCUCAAUGAAAAUCAGUCAGGGAAGUGAUAGACUAAUAAAUGGUGUUGGGAACUGACUUUCAAUAUUAAAAUAAAGCUAAGUUCCUAUCUCAUCUCAUACACAAAAACAAAUUCCAGAUGGCUGAAGUAUCUAAAGCUUAAAAGAGAAAAAAUUAAACAUUUAAAAUUAUUAGAAAAAAAUAGAAUAUCUUAGGGCAGAGAAGACAUCAAAAAAUAGAAAUAAUAAUGGAAAACAUAAAUAAACUUAGCUACCUCAAAAUUUAUAAAUUUGUAAAUUUUGUAAAACAAAAAAACCCAGCUUACAAAGUUAAAAGAAAAGUAGCCUGAGAGAAGAUAUUAGCAAGACUUACAACAGUCAAGAUUAGUAUUGAGAAUGUAUUAAGAAAGAAAUUUUUAAAAAACUCCUACAAAUCAAUACCCAAAGACAGACAACCUAGUAGAUAAAUGGGCAAAGAUUAUAGAACAAGAAGUUCACAGAAAAGAAAGCCACACCCUCAGAAUGAACAAAUAAAAAAGUGUUCAACCCAACAGGGAAAUAACAGCAAAAAUAACACAAUUGGCAAAAAUUAAAUAAUAUAUCCUUGUUAUGUAUGAGUGAGAAUAUAGGCUAAUGGAAAUGUUCACAAAUUACUGGUAUCAGUAUAAAUUUGUACAGACAUCAUGGAAAUUAUUUUGGCAGUAUCAGGUAAAAAUUGACAAUGUGUAUCACCACCCAGGAACCCGCUUCUAGACAUAUCUAACAAAGAAAUUCUUAUGCAAGUGUAGGGCCAGCUUCAUGGACACAGAGUUCUGCCCUCAGAAGGGCCCUGUGCUUGGUUUAAUGCUCUGCUUUCACUGUCUUGAAGUUCUUAAUCGUUUUACUUUUGAACUUGUGCUUUUAAGUGGUGUUUGCUGGGGCACUGCAGCAUGUCAUGAAUGGAGGAGAUGGGUGCAAUAUGCAUGUCAGCCACAUCUUGCUGCCCUGUUCAUGUUAGUAUUCAGGAAGCCCCACGAGCACAGAAUCCCAGUGGACCCAUGAAGUGUGGGAGUUCAACAGGACUCAGGGCAAGAACAAAGUAAGUAUGUUAUGUCUUCAGCUGAGUAAGUGGGGAGGUAAAUACUCGAAGAGGCCACUCUUUCCCUUUGAACUAGAACUUGCUUCAAAUGCAGAAACACGGACUGGCGAACCGAAAACUACAAACAACCAAGGAACCCUGUUGUACUUUUUCUAACUCAUGUUCUUCCUGUAUUUGCCAACCACUUAUACUGAAAAUGACAGCAGAGAAGGAAAGGGAAAGAUUGGACAUCUCACAAUCCCUUUUUCUUUCACUCCUUCCUUAUUCAUCAGUAAGCCAAAGGUAGAGUGUUGGUAGACUGUGCAUGAGUCAAGAAAUGAAAUAAAAACAGUUGGGUUCGUUUUGCAGCAUUUCAACUCCUCUGGUGAGAAUGAAAUACAUACACAUUUAGGAGCUGCGAAAUGCAAGUUGUAUCAUUUCCAUGAUUUUACAUACAAGUUAAAUAUGCUUAUAUUUGCAUUUAAAACAGGUAUUGAACAAUAUAAAAAUGAAAGGUAAGAUUUAUGAUAAUAGCUUACAUUUUUAAUUUUUCUUAGAACAACAUUAGGACGACAAAUAAAAAAACACCACCAUGACAAGUCAAGAGCGAGAUCAUGGAAGAAGGAAAAAACCUUAGCUUUUAUACCUUUAAUGGCACUUUUUUCCUAUAUUUUGAACAGAAGGGCCAGCUUCAUUUUGCACUGGGUCCACAAAUUAUGUAGCCAGCCCUAUGCAUUUGCACAAGGAAACAUGAACAAGAAUGUCCAUUUUAGCAUAAUUGUAGAGGUUAAAAAGAAGGAAAAUAAUCCAAUGUCCAAGAAUAGGAACAUGGAGAGAUUACGAUAUAGUCUAUAGGAUGGACUACUGCAUGGCAGUAUUAAGUAUAUUAAAUAAAUUAACCAAAUCCAUAGGUACAUAGAAGGAGAUAAAAAAAUUGAGAAGAAAUUCAAGCCGAAGAUCAUUACAAGAUAUAAGAGCAUGCAUCUAUGUAAUUUUAUAAAACACCCCAAAAUUCAUUAUUUAUGAACACAUUUAUAUAUAUGGUAAAGUAUAAACUCAUCCACCAGGCACACACCAAAUUCAUGACAGUGAUUUUAUUUAGGGAGAGAAAAAGAGAAUGUCACCAAGAUGAAGAAAAUGGAGGAUUUCAUAUUUAAUUUUAAUCUUUUAUUUCUUAAAAAAUUUUUAUAAGAAAAUGUUUAGUGCUGAAUUUUAUAACAAAAUGUUUCGUGCUGAAUGCAUGAGUUUGACAUGCUGUUCUUAAUGCUCUCUAUAUUUUUUAAUUAAAAAAACUCCUAAUUUAAAUAAAGUAGACCAGCCAUUCCUUCCACUAUCCCUCCAUUCCAAGCACAAUUUCUAUAAAGCAGAAAGAAAAUUUGGUGAGAAUGCAGAGGGGAGCCCUCCAUGCAUAUGUUUCUUUGAACAGGAUACUAAAACAUGAUUUUACCUACUUAUCAAUAUGAGAGAGAUGGCAGAGAGGCCUGGAGUAAAUCUCCUCAAUGUUUGCGAAUGAAAGUUAUGCACAGACCGUUGGCUAAUCAUCGGAUUGGCACAGAAAGACCCCGGUUUCCAGAGUAAUGUUGAUUUUUAACUCUCUUAAAUUGACUUUUUAAAAAAUGCAUGUGACUUUUAUGUCCUGAAUUUGCUAAUAAGUCAGACCUUUGGAAUCUUCCAUUACCUUCUGGAGGAUGGUUACAUUCUUGGCCCUGGACCAAACAAGAGCACAGUGGUGAUUUACUGACGCAUGCAGCCCCGCAGUCCUGGCUCACACACAGAGCUGUAAUAGCUCUUUAAACUCUGAGGGCUUGAGUUCCAAUUCAUUUACCAUAAGCACAAUAUAACAUGGAAAUUAUUUUGGCUGCAGAGGCAAAUGUAGCCCAUUCAUGUAUAAAACCAUUGCAAUAAAAGGAAAAGAAACUUAAUCUAGGAAAGUGAUGCCUGUUUUUGGUUUCUUUUCUAAUUCUCUUUCUUUCUAGAUGCUGGCUCGUUACUGGGAAUUUGGCUGCUAUUUGAGGCCUGGCCCUCUUAAGAGCAACACAGUGCUGGUAAUAGUCCCUGGAAGGUGACUUUCUCAAGCUCAGCCCAAUUAUCCAUUUUUAUUCUGGCCACUAAUCUUUAACUCCAUCCCAUCCACUAAUCCAUUCCCCCAUGAGCAAACAAUGCACAGGUAAGUAACAGGGGACCUCCAUGACACUUUUAAUUGAAAUAGCACUUAAUCCACAACCUGCACCGCUGUCGCUUUUCUACCCAUACCUCAAGACUUGGCAAGGAUGAAACAUGACUUGUAUUUGAAGAAUACAAAAUUCAAGUAUCUCUUCUGUGGAAAGUAGAAAGAGAAAAAAACCUCUCUAUAAAAGCUAGAUGGCAUUUGGAAUUAUUUUAAUAACUCACCCACAACUCCUAUUUUAUCCAAGUUGGUUACAAAGACAGAAUUAAUCUUUUCAGAAUAAUUUAUAAUAUUUAUUCUAAUUUACAUAAGAAAUAAUAAAUAUUCACAAAAUUAUAAAAGUCUCUGUCACUGACAUUUGUAGACAAUCACAAUUGAUCUGAAGUGUCUUCACACUAACUGUUCACUCCAUGGAGUGGUUGUAGCCAAGGUAGGAUCGUUAGCAAAUAAAGUUGGAGAAGCCAUUUUGUGUCUCAAGGUGAGAAUGACAUGCUGAAGGGAGCUUGCUGAGUCAGGGCAACCUCCUCCAGUCUUAUUGCUUUGCCUGUCCUAUUACUUUGACUCUGAUGGGUAUGUGGUUAGGAACCUGGAAUUUUAUCAGCUUAUAUUAUACUGUAUCUGCACAAAAAUCAAUAUACAAUUAACUAUUAAUUAUUUGGAGUCCUGUAAAGAAGAACUGACAAAAAUAUUCUCCUGAAGAACCCGUAACCCUAUCCAUAAAUCAUUCAUAUUUGUCUUUGGAAUAUAUGAUAUGAUUUAUAUUUCAACCAAUUUGCCUCACUAAUUGUGUAUGAUUUUGACUAACGCGAGAACUGUUUGCAGUCUGUGUAGGUAGCAAGUGGAGGAAGAUAAGAAGUCUGUUAGAUGGUGGGAGGAGGGGAGUCAGUCAUGGAGAAACCACGUUUUUACCCUAUGUAAUCCAUAAAGUUGAUAAUGUACAAAGUGGAUGCUACUUGAUAGAAAGAGUAAAGUUGAUUUCCCUUUGCUUGCUUACAGCAUUUUUUUUGUUCACUAACUCAAAUCACUGCCAGGUGAGAAGGGAGAAGCAGGGGGACAGUUGUGACUUCUUUGUUUCCAUUUUGCAGAUUGCACUCAGGAAUACAGGAGAGUUCUUAGCAUGACUGAGACCAUAUAGCCAUUUACUUGGAAGCUGAAGUUCCUGUCAUGGAUGUCCUAACACCAAGCUCAGUUCUGCAGCAAAGCAAAAGUGUACUCACUGGGCAGACAGACACCGAUUACAGGACUCUCUCUAGAGACACGGCCAUACCCUGAAUCUAUUUACUGCCCCCGAACAUACUAGGCACCAGGCACUGUUUAGAGAGAAGCCCCAUUGCUGCAAUUGGAAUAGCCCUGGCCUAGCAGGGCUAUUCCUUGUCCCAUUGCAGAUCAUUAUUUUCACUAUACCUCAUAAAAUUAGCGUUUUUAAAUGUUACUAAAUGGUAUUUAUACUUAUUUUUAAUACUGUGUAAUGUUUCAUCCAGUAGUUAGGUAUACCUUAAAUAUCUAAUCACUAUUUUAUCAUCUGUUCAACAUUUAAUUUUUUCAAUUUUUGAGAAUUACAAAUGCUACAAAGAAUAUUUUUGCAAAUGGCUCUUUUUUUUUCUUUUUUUCGGGGGUUGUGGGUGGUACCAAACUAUUUAAAGAAAGGGUACAAAUGAAAGAACUUAUGUGUAUGUUUUGGUAUAUGUGUUUCCCCCGCCCCCACCACCAAAUUAUUCUCUUAGAGUUAUUCUCACUAGUGCUCUUACUAAGUCAAAGUCUAGAAAAAUUUUUAAGUCCUUUUCAUUUUGUUUUUUUUAAAGGGGUAUGCCAAUUUAUAAUGUCAAUACUGAGUGUUGCUAUUUUAAAAUUUUAGUCUAACUUUAUAUAAUACAUUUUUAAGUACUUUCUUGAUUUUUUUCUUUUGAUUUUCUCAGUUCCAGCCCUGUCACAUUCAGUGCCUCUGCUGUCACAUUACUUGACCUAACCAGCCCCUGUCAAAGCAAGAAAGUUGCUGGGUUUUGCUGGUAACCCAUCCCACUUAACCAAAAGGGCCCAGAAGUUUUUCUUCCUAGGAUAAAAGCAGGACACUUCUUGUGGAAAAUACAACCAAUAUGGUUUGAAUAAGGGUUGCUGGACGCUGUUUUCCUAUUGACAAAUCCUUCUGUUCUGCAGGUACACAGGGGUGGGAUGGCUGGAGGAUGGGGAAGGGAGAGGAUCCAAAGGCACUAAGAACUGUCUUGGCCUUUCUACAAUAAAUUUCCCAGCAUGACACAGAAGCACAGUUACACACUUGCACACACACCACUGAGCCUCCCAAGUGUUGAAAUACUACAUCCAGGCAUAUAUUAAACUAACAAAUUUAAAAAGAAACUACCAUGUCCAGCAAUACUCUAAUCAUCCAAAGUAGUAAUAGUAAAGGUAACUGAUGCUAAUGUCUAUUAAUGCCCCAAAACAUUUAAAAACUCAAGAAGAAAAAGAAAUCUACCCUGAUAAAUAUGAAUAUAUGUUUUUAAUUUAUGCUUUUCUUUAUUUUUAAUUUAUGCUUUUCUUGAAAAAUUAUUGUCUUCCAAUGAUUAAUUCUUUUGAGUCAGGGUGAUGUAUGGUUUUGCCCUGAAACUUUCUUUCUAAAAGAAAUCCCUAGUCUCAGUUUGCUUUCUAAACAAAUGACAGGAGAAACCAUAGGAAAAUGUAAUUCAAAAUCAAAAAGGCUCAUAAGUUUCACUUUCUGAAAAAGUUGCCAGCACCUGGAUAUAUAAAAUUAUACUAUUUCUACAAACACAAUCCUUGAAUUGGAAGCUGGCCCAGAUUUCUACUUCCCCAGAUUCCUACAUUCCCUGUGCAACCCUCUUCAAUCCUGGGCUUGGUGUCUUUUUGGCUUUUCACCAGUAUUCAAAACGUUCCCCUAGUUCAGGCUCUGCAGCCAGCUGUCCAGGAGGCUCCCUGAUGGUUGCAUUAACAUCCUGGGGCAAUACUGCCGUCGUGUGGGCAUGUAAAAUGCUGCAGGUUCAUCCCAAAGUGAAGUUGCAUUUUCCCAACUACAGGCACAAAUGAGUCUUCUCUCUGCUCUUUCACUUCUAGGUUAAUGGGACUCCUGGGUGACUGAAGAUGUCAAGAGGGUUUUGGGUAGACAAUUUGUAGUGCCUGUUUGUCCUGUCUCUGAGAUCUUGAAUAAACUUUGGGAACCUAUUGGGUGAGAGUUGUUGGAAAUGUAAAUUUACAAGAUGCAUUCUUAAUAUAUCAGACCUAAUUAAAAAUUUUGCCAAUAAAACAAUGUGGCAACCCUGUACCAUGUGUGAUGGCAUGCUUGUGACUUGAUUUAUCCUUGUAAAAAUGACUUUACUGGAUAUGUGGUCACCAGACCUAAUGGCCUCUGUGAUUUAAUUUUUUAAAUAUGGGAAAUAUCUUUGCUGCCGAAACUCACUAACAUCUUUUUGAACUUUACGGGAAUUGAUGUUUCCAGCUGAAAGAUGGAUUUAGAGUUUGGGACAGAAAACACAGUGAUGCUAAAAACCAAAAGUUAUUUGGAAAAAACAUUUGAAUCAGCACCGAAAUGAUGUAGUUUAGCAAAAACAUUAACAAUAAAACAUUACCUUUCUUGUCAUAAGACUAUUUUCUUUUUUACAAACAGCUUAUAAACUUUCUCUGUGAUGAACCUUCGUAUACAGUUCAGCUGAAGACUAUAAGCCUGUUAGAGUCCCUUGGGAAGAAGAAACCUAUGCAUCUAGGUUGUUCCUAAAAAAGCUGUUGUUCAACUAAGACAUGCUGUCCUUACAGUGCUGUCACCGCCAGAAAUAAUCUUUAAUUCUGUCUUCUUGGUGUGAAUUCUCAACUAGUAAAACUCUAUAUUGAAAUGCAAAUUAGCUCUUCCGAGUACAAGCUUGUAAAAAUGUCAAAACACCUCACAAAAAUUCUAAUUGCCACAUAAUUAGGUAUCUAAACAAAAGUUCUAUGCUGAUAUUUUAAUUUUGCUUCAUUGCAAUAAUGUACAUUCAAUAAUGGGCCCAACUAGGACAAGGUGAUAAGUUAGGGAAGAAAGUAGCUAAUAGCACCAAAUAAGGAUGCCCCUGAACCCAGAGCCUGGCAGAAAAUAGAAUGGACUUCCAGAGAAACAUCAUGGGGCCUAGGGAAAUAAACACCGCUUAGGGAGAAUUAGAUUAGCCAGAGUACAACAAACUUCCAUUACAAGCUGGAAUUUCUUUUAGAAGGAAUACAUGAAAGUGUGUCUUUAUAAAGAGGUGGUAUCCUGGAGUGAGCACUAAAUCAGUCUAAUGCCUUCAAUCUUCUUGAUUUCCCCCUACAGAACUGUACUUCUUAUUAAUGUUUGUAAUGACCACCUGUGGCACUGUAGGAUGCUGAAUUACCAAAGAAAGAUUAAAUUAUGUCCUAUUGAUGACACUUAAUAGACGUCUAGCAGGUGCACAUGUUACAGAAUGAUAUUUGACAAAUGUAGAAAUGAUAAGGG
rnacentral:lncRNA from 1 species